CACUUUUCCACAUUUGUUUUAA
rnacentral:snRNA from 1 species